GUGCUCACUUCAGCAGCACAUAUACCAAAACUGGAAUGAUGCAGAGAAGAUUAGCAUGUCUCCUGACCAAGGAUGGCACACAGAUUUGUGAAGCAUUCCUUGCAGAU
rnacentral:snRNA from 1 species